UGCAGUGCUUCUCAGAAAUAUUUUUCUUCUGUGCUAGGUCUACUUUUGCACAACGGGAACACUUGCCUCUGUCAAACCGGUGGUCGAAAUCUGAGAUCGGCGUGUGCAGGAGGAGUAUGAACUUCUCGGAGAUGCCUUUAGAUGUCUCCCUUCCUCGUCUGUUUGGAGAUGACAGCAGGUGCCUUCCGCAGGGCUGGGCUGCCUGCGGGGUGGGGCUGCGGAGAAGCCAGUCAGUCCCGGAGGGCAAACGAGGAUUUCUGAAAACCUUCUAAAGCAAAAGUUAAUGGAAAAGAGAGCCUCGUUGCUCACAGGCCACUUCUUAAACUAGAAACGUUCAGCUAAAACAGUGGGUCAAUGCUUUUGGGACCUGAGAGAAUGACACUAAGGCUGGAAGCCUUCAGCUGCAGUGGGCAGAGAGAAGAGGUGGUGCCUGUGAGAGUGAGGAGCAUGCUGUCCUUCUGUGCCCUUUGUCACUGCUGUAAGCUGCAUCUUUGGCCAUCCUGGCAAAAGAAACUAUCCCACAUGAACCCCAGAUGUCAAUAUCCAUGGACACAAGUUUCUAGAGGCUGAGCAGGAAGAGGAUCUGCUAGCUCCACGAUUUCAGUGGCAAUAGUUGUAGAAACAGCAAAAAGUUCUGGGACUGUGUUGCAAUUGUGCUGGCUCAGCUCCAGACAUGCAGAAAGUCCUGCAGCAUUGUGAUCCUGCAGGCAGGAGGCCUGGGAAGCACAGCAGCCACGCAAUCAGGUUAAGUCAGUCUUGAGGCUGGCUCCACUAAGUCAAGAACAAGAGGCAAACAGAAGCAGCCCUUACAUAGCGAAUGUGCAGGAAAAUGUGGAGAAGUAGACCAGGUGAAGGAGAGACAGAAAUCUUGUGGACUGAAGAAGACAAGAAAUCUUACUCUAAGAUGCAGGAAAUUGCCAAUUGUCUCAUUUAGAGGUUAGCUUCACAAAGGCCAAGAGGUCAUAUUUACAUUUGCAUGAUAGAACACAAAGAAUACUUGCAAUUCUUGAAAUAGCGUAAAGGGGGAACAUUCUGGAUGACCCUGUUGUUAACAUAGACUUGAAGUGGAAUCUGGAACAAAUCAGCCGUUAUGCAACAAACUACUCAAAAGACUACAAAAAAACUGCGUGUCAGCACGGUUUUAAUUUUGUAACUGGAGUUAGUGAAGUUUGUUAGUAAGAACUUAAAAAAAGAAAAGAGAAGCUUGUUCCGAGAAGAUACACUUCCAUAAACUCAGUGACAGAUGAGAGCAGACUUUGUAACUCACACACUGAAACUGAUCUAUCUACUUAGACAUGCAAAUGUCGUUUUGAAUAAGUCUAACAUUUUGAAUUGUCAACGGUGGAAAGAGGUUUCUGUAAAGGCAAUUUGAUUCUUCAGCUAUCCUAAGCUUGUAAACCAUGUAGAACCAAGGGGAAAAAAA